rnacentral:rRNA from 1 species
UACGUAGGGGGCAAGCGUUGUCCGGAUUUAUUGGGCGUAAAGAGCGUGUAGGCGGCUUUACAGGUCCGUUGUGAAAACUCGAGGCUCAACCUCGAGACGUCGGUUGAAACCACCUGGCUAGAGUCCGGAAGAGGAGAGUGGAAUUCCCGGUGUAGCGGUGAAAUGCGCAGAUAUCGGGAAGAACACCCGUGGCGAAGGCGGCUCUCUGGGACGGUACUGACGCUGAGACGCGAAAGCGUGGGGAGCGAACAGG